GUGAAUUAAACAUGCUUGGUGUCUUCGCUUCGGCAAGGCCCUUGCUUAAAUCACAUCCUAACACCUGUGAACUGUAAGACGUAUGAUGAGGUCUUUGGCCAAGUCAUCGUCUGCCCACUUUUAACAAACAAUUAAUGUAACAAACGUAGUCUUAUUAUAACCUAAUA
rnacentral:misc_RNA from 1 species